rnacentral:rRNA from 1 species
UACGUAGGGUCCAAGCGUUAUCCGGAAUCACUGGGCGUAAAGCGUGCGUAGGUGGCGUGUUAAGUGUGAUGUUAAAUCGUGUGGCUCAACCAUAUCGAUGUGUCGCAUACUGGCAUGCUAGAGGACAGCAGAGGCAAGUGGAAUUAGUAGUGUAGCAGUGAAAUGCGUAGAUAUUACUAGGAAGCACCAAUGGCGAAGGCGCUUGCUGGGCUACUCCUGACACUGAGGUACGAAAGCGUGGGGAGCGAACAGG